UUCAAACCCACUUUCUGUUGGUACUCUAUAAUCUCCUUUGUUCAUAUAAGUGUCAAAGUGGUACAUACCCAACAUAGCAGCAGCCGUAAUUAUGAUUUUCCUCCUCUUCUUCCGACACCUCAACAUGAACUCUUGUACUCUUCGAUCAUAUUCCUCUCUAUCAUCGUCCUCUUCAUCCCAAUAAUCAUCUUCUGAGUCAUCUUCUUCCUACACACAAGAACAAGGAGAAAUCAGUACAUUGUCGACAUGUACAAAAUUAGAUCUUAAUAGAAAUCAGUACAUAUGAAUCAACUAACAGACAUAACAUGACAUUCCACACAACCAGCAAUAACAUGACAUUCCACACAAC
rnacentral:lncRNA from 1 species